rnacentral:rRNA from 1 species
AUGAUGGACCAAGGAGAACCAGGCAAAGAUCUGCCGAUAUUGGAUCAGAUGUGGGAGGCUGAUCCCCAUGAGACAGAGAGCUCCAAGAAGAUGGAGGCAGCCACAAAGCCGACCCCAGAUACACUCACAGCCUCUACUGAGAUCGUCAAUGCCCUGUUUGAGGUUACAGCCCCCGUGGCACUUCAGGAGCAGUUUUCCCCUUCGAGGAUGUGUCCCCACCACCCCGCUGAGCUGCCCAAGGUGAUUUUCUUCUUUGCCGAUCUCGAUUGUGGUUUUUCAUCUAAGUAUGUGGUGAUGAAUAAUGCAAAAUUCUAUUAG